GAUCAUCUCUAUGGAUUAUGAAAAACUUAGUAACCUAUAUUUACCCAUCGGUCAACCGGUUUAACCACCACUAGGAAAGAUUAUUAAUUUGUCAAACCACAAGUAGAUACCAAGUUUAUGUAGGAUUUGCUAAAAGAGAUUUUAGUACAAAAAGUGAGAGCCCAACAUAGUCACGAGUGAGAGAGAAACAGGCAAUAAAUGAUUCUGAGGGAAUAUUUAAUAAGAUGAGUUCUUUGGUUUGGCUUCGGCCUUUGGGGGGGUCAGUCAGACCCAAACAAACACAACAUAUAAAACAAAAGUAAAUUCCUGUCCAAAGCCUUAAAAAUAGAGAGUAAAGGCAUAAUUCUUUUUGCCCGGUUCCUUAUUCAUUGCCCUUUACCAGUUCCCAUGAUAGCGAGACAUUUUUCACCUCCUGUAAUUUUAUUAUACAACAAUGUAACUAACACCAACAAAAGUAAAAAUAAGAAAAGGUUAAGUUCUUUAUUUGGAAUUUAUAUCAACCAUACAUCAAUGACCAACAAGAAGAUGCAAACAUUAGCUCAGGAGGGAUAGACAAGGUAGAAAAACUGAUUCAAAUGAACUAGGAGUAGAGAUACACACAUACUCAACACCAAAAAGAGAUAGUAGAGAGUCUUUAAAAGGAUAUAAGGUUGAGAUACUUAGAAAGGGAUGGGGUAUUACAAGGUCAAGAAAAGGUCUUGCAAGGUCAAGAAAAUAGAAUAAUUCAAUAGAACAGAAAAAAAAUUAAAACAAAAACCAAACGCUCGUGGCUUGGUGGUAAAGGAGGUACAGCUGUAUUGCCCGCCACCCGGGUUCGAGCCUUGGCCACAACGGAUUUAACAUCCCUUUCGUUGGGGCGCUGGACUCCCUACGGGGAUAGUUGGGAAUGUGGCUGCCCAGAUACCGGAGUUACCAAAAAAAAAAAAAAAAAAAAAAAAAAAAAAAAAAAC
rnacentral:lncRNA from 1 species